GACGAACGCUGGCGGCGUGCUUAACACAUGCAAGUCGAACGGAAAGGCCUCUUUCGGGGGGUACUCGAGUGGCGAACGGGUGAGUAACACGUGAGUAACCUGCCCUUGACUUUGGGAUAACUUCAGGAAACUGGGGCUAAUACCGGAUAGGAGCUCCUGCUGCAUGGUGGGGUUGGAAAGUUUCGGCGGUUGGGGAUGGACUCGCGGCUUAUCAGCUUGUUGGUGGGGUAGUGGCUUACCAAGGCUUUGACGGGUAGCCGGCCUGAGAGGGUGACCGGCCACAUUGGGACUGAGAUACGGCCCAGACUCCUACGGGAGGCAGCAGUGGGGAAUAUUGCACAAUGGGUGGAAGCCUGAUGCAGCAACGCCGUGUGCGGGAUGACGGCCUCGGUUGUAACGACUUCGCUCAUGACGAAGACUUGUGUGACGGUAGUGGUAAGAAGCACCGGCUAACUACGUGCCAGCAGCCGCGGUAAU
rnacentral:rRNA from 1 species